UGGGCUUCCAACAUCUUUUGUUUGUUGGA
rnacentral:piRNA from 1 species